ACUUUAGAGAACUCCCAGUUAUACUUAUCUAUGAUUGAAAGAUCCCCGAAGAGAGACCCUUACUCAAGUCUCGGGAAAUCGCGGACCCCAGACACAGAAAGACCA
rnacentral:pre_miRNA from 14 species